UAUAUAUAUAUAUAUAUAUAUAUAUAUAUAUAUAGUGGAAACGUAAACUGAUAAAAAUAGUUUAUGGAUGGUACUAUAUUUUAAUAUAUUUCACAAUGCUACAUUGUGUCUGUGAUAAGAAACACGAACAGAAGGAGUUCCAAACAGAAGGAGUUCCAAACAGAAGGAGUUCCAAACAGAAGGAGUUCCAAACAGAAGGAGUUCCAAACAGAAGGAGUUCUAAACAGAAGGAGUUCCAAACAGAAGGAGUUCCAAACAGAAGGAGUUCCAAACAGAAGGAGUUCCAAACAGAAGGAGUUCCAAACAGAAGGAGUUCCAAACAGAAGGAGUUCCAAACAGAAGGUGUUCCAAACAGAAGGAGUUCCAAACAGAAGGAGUUCCAAACAGAAGGAGUUCCAAACAGAAGGAGUUCCAAACAGAAGGUGUUCCAAACAGAAGGAGUUCCAAACAGAAGGUGUUCCAAACAGAAGGAGAAAUCUCCACAGACCAUCAGAGACAAAUGGUUUUCCACUUAUGUAUUUCAGGAUAUUCUGAUGAGAAAACCUUCCCUUUAAAAAAAAAAUAUUGACUAAGAGGUUGUAAGUCCUUGCUCUCAACAGCCAGAAUGCAGAUCAGAUUUGGCAUAAUGUAAUUGAAAAACAAGCCUUGAUGGCUGUUUUUACCAAAUUACAUAAUUAGCUUCCAGUGUUACCAACUAAAACUCUUCAAGCUCAUGAACAGUCCAGUAGGCUAAACAUGAUCUGGACUGCUGUGUUGUGCCAUCUCUCCCUCUCUAUUUGCAUCGACACUGGCACAGACAAUACAUUUAUCCAGGGAAUUCAAAGGUCAUCACAGAAGCUACAUUGUACAGCUACGUCAAGUGGAGGAAUUUGAUGUGAUUUAACCUUUAUUUAACUAGCUGAUUGGCUAUGAAAAUCCAACUGAUAUUUACUCCUGUGGUGCUGACCUGUUGCACCCUCUACAAGCACUGUGAUUAUUAUUAUUUGACCCUGCUGGUCAUUUAUGAACAUUUGAACAUCUUGGCCAUGUACUGUUUUAAUCUCCACCUGGCAAAGCCAGAAGAGGACUGGCCACCCCUCAUAGCCUGGUUCCUCUCUAGGUUUCUUCCUAGGUUUAGGCCUUUCUAGGGAGUUUUUCCUAGCCACCGUGCUUCUACACCUGCAUUGCUUGCUGUUUGGGGUUUUAGGCUGGGUUUCUGUACAGCACUUUAUGACAUCAACUGAUGUGAGAAGUGCUUUAUAAAUACCUUUGAUGAAUUGAUUGAUUUGAUUGAUAAGAACAAGUUCUUCUUUACAAUGACGGCCUACCAAAAUGCAAAAGGCCUCCCGAGGGGACGGAGGCUGGGAUUAAAAAUAAAAAUAUAUUCAGUAUAUUCAAAAAUAUAUUCAGUUGUACAACAGAACGGAAAGGGGGAUACCUAGUCAGUUGUACAACAGAAAGGAAAGGGGGAUACCUAGUCAGUUGUACAACAGAAAGCAAAAGGUGGGUACCUAGUCAGUUGUACAACAGAAAGGAAAGGGGGAUACCUAGUCAGUUGUACAACAGAAAGGGGGAUACCUAGUCAGUUGUACAACAGAAAGGAAAGGGGGAUACCUA
ensembl:lncRNA